rnacentral:lncRNA from 1 species
CUAAGAUGAAACACCCGAGGGUGAGUCAUACUUUUGUGAAUUCUGUCAAAACACCGCUAGAUUCCUCGUGGCCACCAAAGCUCUGCUAUCUAGAACCUGGAGGGGCGCAAAACAAAAUUGAGUGGGUCAGUAAAACAAAGUUUUUCGAAAACAUUUCUAACCCCUCGCUGUAAAACCGGUAUACUUUCCCAGAAAAUAAUAUAUAUAUAUAUAUAACCAUAAUUAAUCUCAAACUCAAAUCACAAAUCUUUAACACUUUCCAAGAAAAAUAUGCCAUGCUAUGCAUCAAAACAUAAUAAGGAUGCAACAUUAUAACAGGUGAAAUAAGGAAUCAACCGGAGACCCUGCAGUUGGUCCUGUACAGUUAAUUCUAUAGCUCAAUAUCCAAUCCAACCAGAGUCACCACUGUGACCUGUACGGCACUACUCUGCACAUAAAUCGGAACUAUCUAAAGUAGUCUGUACGAUAAGAAUGGUGUAAGAAUACGCUCUAGUGCUUCUCUCAUCAAUCAUCUGUGCACAUAAUCUAAGGUCACCUACUAGUCGGAACCACCUCUAGUGGUCUGUACGACUAGCAUGUCGGAGCCCUCUAUCAGUCUGUACGACAUGCACCUACUUGGAUCCAAGGUGAGCGUGUGGUGCGGGUGAAUAAUAUAAGCACUAACACCAGGGGUGCAAGUUAUGAGCUCUCAACACAAUUCACAUCAUCAAUGAUUCACAUGAAUAACAUAAAACUCACCUGAUACUCACAUGUGCGUCCACAGCACCAAUUCACAUAUAUAUAUAUAUAUAUGCAUCAAUUAUCAAUUCAUAUCAUUCACAAUAUGCAUGCAUGGCAUUUUAAAACGUACUUUCAUUUAAACUCAAUUUCUGGGAAAAAUAUCAAUAGUAUAUAGGUAUAAAUAGAAAUACUGCCCACUCACCUGGAGUUCGCCCAACAACUCCCUAGCACCACACAUCAAGGCGUCAUGACGAUCAGCGCCUAGAACAAUAAUCAAAUCCAACCUUAGAAAUCAUAUCGAUAGAAUAUAUAACUUAUAUAAAACACGUCACUACGUAGUUCGAUCCGGAAGAUUUGCAACUCAGAUUUCAAAUCCAUAACUUCCAGAGGUCCAAAGUAUACCUCUAGGACAUCAUCCUAAAAUUUCAUUACCAUCCAACGGUCGGAUCUCCGUCAAUUGUCGAAACCGAGUGACGGUUAACAUUCUAUUUUUAUGAACUUACAACUCCAAUUCCGAAAGAUCCGUAUAUCGGAUUCCCAAUACGUAAGUUCCUAUAUAUCCUAAAAAUAUUACGUAUUACAAUGUAUCAAAGUUUGGUGACGAUCCAACGGUCGGAUCGUCAAUUCACAUUUUCACCUAACCACGAAUCGAAACGAACUUAGGUUCAAUUACUCAAUUUACAUCCAUCAAUUAUCAAAACUGAACCUAGAACCUUAAACACAUGCUAAGAAUGACAUUGGCAGGCCAUUGGCCACGCGCCGCCGCACGGGCCGCCGCGGGUGGUGGUUGGCCGCCCCGGCUUGCCGGAAAAUCCAACUAUUUCCAAAAAUUCUCAAAAAAUACAGAAUUGAAGAUCUCAAUGAUUAAAGUAAACUUUAUACCUGAGGCCAAGGCCAAUUUGGCCUGGAAACACUUCAAUUUCACCAAAAUCCGUGAAGAACCCUAGAAAUGGGUGUUUUCAAUUCGACCUCCAAAACCACUCCGAUGCUCCAACUAAUGCUUGGGCUUUGUUCCAGGUCCUAAGGGAAUGCUAAUGGUGUUAGUAAUUGAAAGAAAACAUUUCAAGAUUUGAAGAAUUUGUACACUAAGCCACUGCACACACCGUACGGUUUCAACCAAUUUCAAGGCCAAAUUCCUUGAUUUUUGGGGUGUAAUAGGAAGAGGGAAGAUCAUAGAGGGUUUUUCAAGUGAUGGUUUGAAGUAACUCACCGGAAAAGUGAAGAAAUUUCAACGGAAAUGGGUGGAAAACCCACCGGGUCGCGCGGGUCAUGGGUUGAAAAACCAUUUCUGUUCUUCUUUCUCCGCUUCUCGCCCUCUCUCCUUUCCUCCUUUCCCCUUCUCUAAUUGGCCAGAAGCUUCUCUCUCUUCUCCCCAUUCGCCCAGCUUCUCUCCUUUCUCUCCCGGAGCUAUCUUCUUCUUCCUUCUGGUUGGGCAGUUUUUGCCCAAUCUUCAUUCUUCUUCU